GGAACCUGGGAUAUAAAGACUUUGGAGAGAUGGAAAUGGAAAUCAGCACAACACCUAAGCAGAGGGUUCUCCGGUAAUGCAAAGAAGACCACAGAAAACUCUACUGUAACUAUUCAUCCAAAGGAAAUUAGAACAUUUUUUGUAUACUUUCAAGAUCAGUGAAAGUCUGCAAAUUAUUCCUGAGCCAUCAUUGAACAACUUGCUUCGUUUCUUUUUUAAAAAAUCACAAGUUUUGAGAACAUUUUUCCUAGUAUUGUAAAUGGAAUCAAUAAUUAUUAUAUAAUAAACUGUGAAAUUUAAUUAAAUCAUCAAAA